rnacentral:rRNA from 1 species
UCGAGCGGUAGAGAGAAGCUUGCUUCUCUUGAGAGCGGCGGACGGGUGAGUAAUGCCUAGGAAUCUGCCUGGUAGUGGGGGAUAACGUUCGGAAACGGACGCUAAUACCGCAUACGUCCUACGGGAGAAAGCAGGGGACCUUCGGGCCUUGCGCUAUCAGAUGAGCCUAGGUCGGAUUAGCUAGUUGGUGGGGUAAUGGCUCACCAAGGCGACGAUCCGUAACUGGUCUGAGAGGAUGAUCAGUCACACUGGAACUGAGACACGGUCCAGACUCCUACGGGAGGCAGCAGUGGGGAAUAUUGGACAAUGGGCGAAAGCCUGAUCCAGCCAUGCCGCGUGUGUGAAGAAGGUCUUCGGAUUGUAGAGCACUUUAAGUUGGGAGGAAGGGUUGUAGAUUAAUACUCUGCAAUUUUGACGUUACCGGACAGAAUAGCCACGGGUAACUCUGUG